rnacentral:rRNA from 1 species
AUUGAACGCUGGCGGCAGGCCUAACACAUGCAAGUAGAACGAGUGGCGGACGGGUGAGUAAUGUCUGGGAAACUGCCCGAUGGAGGGGGAUAACUUCUGGAAACGGUAGCUAAUACCGCAUACCAUCGGAUGUGCCCAGAUGGGAUUAGCUAGUAGGUAGGGUAAUGGCUCACCUAGGCGACGAUCCCUAGCUGGUCUGAGAGGAUGACCGGCCACACUGGAACUGAGACACGGUCCAGACUCCUACGGGAGGCAGCAGUAGGGAAUAUUGCGCAAUGGGCGAAAGCCUGAUGCAGCAAUGCCGCGUGUAUGAAGAAGGCCUUCGGAUUGUAAAGUACUUUCAGCGGGGAGGCGGUACUCGCAGAGAAAGCACCGGCUAACUCCGUGCCAGCAGCCGCGGUAAUUC